ensembl:lncRNA
GUGCGUGUGGCUGUGUGUGUGUGUGUGUGCUUGUGUGUGUGUGUGUGUGUGUGUGUGUGUGUGUGUGCUUGUGUUAGCUGACUAGCCUGUAUAUGCCAUGGUGCUGGGCAAUGUGGAAUCACAGUUCUCUGUCAUCUCCCUCAGUACUAUCUGUCCCACCUCUUGACACAAUCAAACUAACAGCUUCAGCCAGAAACAGAAGAGAGAGAGCGAGCAAGAGAGACAGACAGAGAGAGAGAGAGAGAAAGAGAGAGAGAGAGAUUGCUUUGGCAAUGUUGUAUUGCAUGCAGUUAUGCCAAUAAACUCAUUUGAAUUUGAAUUUGAGAGAGAGAGAGAGAGAGAAAGGAAGAAGAGAGAGAUGGUAAGAAAGACAAAAAGAAAGAAUUAGAAUAGUCAUCAAUUGGAAAAACCCACAAAAAAUGACAGAGUGGCAUCCACAGUAGGGUAUCUGAAAGUAUGUGCACACAGGAAUCUGUAAUCACAGCAGUGUUAAACAAAGCCCUUCACAAGGAGCCAUGUUAGAGAAGCAACCAUUUGCAUUGCCAGCAGACUGACAGAAACAAACCACACAGACAGGAGAGAAAUCCUUUGAGACCAAAGCAUCACCUGAAGCUCCAAGAGACAGGCUGAGGCUCUGCAGCUAUCCCACGACCGCAAUCACACAGUUUCAGGACCAUGGACAGCGCUUCCGCAUGCAGCACCGUGGACAGCUCCCCCAGCUCAGUAGUGCUACUAACUCCCCAGCUGGCUGCAACGAAUUGAACAUUAUCUCACACUGUACCACACUGCCAUGUUGACUACGGCACAGAUCUGGGCCAAACAUGACCACAUCAAAUAUAUUGAUACAAAAGAGGGGUGGAAGAGAUAGAAUGCUGCAGGGAAAUGUGGAGAAGAAAGGAGAAGAGGGAAAGGGAGAAUGAAAGAGAGAGAGAGAGAAAGGACAAGAGAUAGGGAGAUGUCCUCAAUGUGUUUGUGCCUCAACUGGUGCAUGUCUGGGUGUGUAUGUGUGUGUGUGUGUGUGUGUGUGUGUGUGUGUGUGUGUGUGUGUGUGUGUGUGUGUGUGUGUCUGGUCCUAUGUAUUAAUGAGAGUCAAUUAGUGAAUAAUGCUCUAUCAGUGGUCCAUUAUGUGCUCUAAUCACUGGUCUAUCACCAAACACAUUCACAUCUCCCCAAUGGUGCAGGAAGGACAGGCAGAGGACAAGGACAAGCACUCUCCUCUCCUCCUCCGCACCCUCCCUCUUCAUCCCUCUUUCUUCAGCACCUGGGUAUUCUCCCCAAACACACGCACAUGAAUAUGCAAACAGAUGGGUGGGUCUCGUACAGAGAGAGAGAGAGAGAGAAAGAGAGAGAGAGAGAGAAAUACAAACUCUUUGUCUCUCAUUCUCAAACACAGUGUAACACAUCCAGUGUACACUUCCUUACACACAAUCACAUAGUUUUAGCAGUGGUGUAUAAAGUACCCAAAAGCCAUACUUGAGUAAAAGUAAAGAUACCUUACUGGAAAAUGACUCAAGUAAAAGUAACCUUUUAGAAUACUACUUGAGUAAAAGUCUUAAAGUAUCUGAUCUUUACUGUACUUAAGUAUCAAAAGUAAUUUUCUGAUACUAAAUGUACUUAAGUAUUGAAAGUAAAAGUACAAGUAAAUGCUGUUAAUAAAAAAGCAAAGGGGCAGAAUUUUGAAAAUGAUGAAGUUUAUUCAGACUAGAAUGAGCAUACUUAUAAACUGGGCCUUAUUUGAACACAAUUUUAACACAAUAGGCAAUACUAAAGCAGCACCGAAAGUAACAACCCAGUCAUUACUUGAAACUGAAAAAUGUUUUGUUCAUCUUCAAACAAAACGUCCCAAAAAGCCAUUAUGAAUUGUUUUUAUUUGAAUCUUUGUAACAUUUUGUGAAUGGGCUCCUGAGUAUCCCAAGGUAGGCAUAAGGCACAACCUGAGAGCAAUAACCUGGCGAUCUGAUACAAAGCCAUAGCAUUACAUCAGGAUCAUCAGUUUUACAAGCAAGUUAUCGGUACAGUGACUUUGAAAUACUUUCAGCAACAUGCACACACAUCUCUUGAACAAUAACGUAACUAGCAGCUAUUUUGCUCCACACUGCUACGUUACUGUACUGUAGAUUGACAUCAUCCUAACUAGCUAGCUAGAUACCUCGCCAGAGAUGGAAUAAAGAAUAAGAAUACAAAAUCUUUGUAGGUUAUUAGCUAGCUUGAAAUAUUAUAUACAGAUCUUACCCAGCGGUGAAAGAACAUGACUAGUCUACAAGCUUGUGCUGGUGGCAUUUAAUGAAGAGGUCGUGGGGUUUCUCAUUUUUUGAUUGAGACCUGUGUGCUUUUGCUUCGAUUAUUGUUGUGUCCCCUUCGUUGUUGAUCUUAAUGUUUUGGAUAUAUCCUUCCACUGCAUAUUGCAGUCCAUUUUGCCUUGAUCUGGAGGAUAUCGCGGACAUAUUAUUCCAAAAAGAAUCACUGACACUGACAGACAGUAUAGUGCAUGAACGAGUUCAAAAGACGUAGCAACAGUAACUAAGAGGACGGGGCUUUUGCGAACGGUCAAUAGCGCAUUAACGUGUGCUAGGACCACUGAUUCGCCAAACCUGCUUGCAGUCUGUGUUCUACCACAGUCCCCGUUGUUGGUCUCGUCACUCUCAUGAUUUUUUUUUUUUUCUAAAGAGGAUUUGAUUUUGUAACGAGUAACGAAGGUUUCAGGGGAAAUGUAUCGGAGUAAAAGUAUCAGUUUUCUUUGCAAAAUGUAGCGAAGUAAAAGUAAAAGUAAAAGUAAACAUAAAUAUAAGUAGUAAAGUAAAGUACAGAUAUCCAAAAAAACGACUUAAGUACAGUAACGAAGUAUUUCUACUUCGCUACUAUACAACACUGAGUUUUAGACACACACACACACACACGCACACACAAUACUACGUUAGACCACCAUAUACUUGCAGAAUGGAACAUGUUCUUGCUGAAAUCCAUCAUUUACAGAUGGACAAACCUGGAUGCUAAUAACACCUUCCAUCCCAUAGCAUCCAGGUGUGACUCCAAGGCUCAUCACUACUGUAAAUGGCCAGACUAAAUGUCAUCACCUCACUCGCAAAAAUUCACAACACAGAUUGACAACAUUCACACACCAACCUUGCAGUUCUUUCUACACUCAAACUCAUACUACAACAUACUCUGAUGUGCUUUGUAUAUGGUACCCCCCUAUGUUAGGUUGUCACAUUCACAGGGCCUUAACACUCUUGCCUUUACUCUCACUCUCACAGGGCCGUAACACUCUUGCCUUUACUCUCAGGUUCACAGGGCCGUAACACUCGUGCCCUAACUCUCACAGGGCCGUAACACUCGUGCCCUAACUCUCACAGAGACGUAACACUCGUGCCCUAACUCUCACAGGGUCGUAACACUCGUGCCCUAACUCUCACAGAGACGUAACACUCGUGCCCUAACUCUCACAGGGUCGUAACACUCGUGCCCUAACUCUCACAGAGACGUAACACUCGUGCCCUAACUCUCACAGGGUCGUAACACUCGUGCCCUAACUCUCACUCUCACAGGGCCGUUACACUCGCACCCUAACGCUCACAGGGCCGUAACACUCUUGCCUUUACUCUCACAGGGCCAUAACACUCGUGCCCUAACUCUCACAGGGCCGUAACACUCACAGGGCAGUAACGCUCACAGAGACGUAACACUCAUGCCCUAACUCUCACAGGGCCUUAACACUCUUGCUGUGAUAAGGGUACCUGCUCUCCUCCUUUUCUCCCCUUUAACCUGCUGACCCCUUCCCCCACAGUCCUGUUGUUUUCACACCUGCAGGCUGUCUAAUCACUACACAGCUGGUGUCUCCAGUCUGAUAAGCUCUUCUUAGUUCUCCUCUGCUUCAGAGUGAUGUGGAGGUAACAGGUUAAUCAAUAAGUCAUCUGGGCUCUCAGACGGGAGAAGAGGACAGUCCCUGGAAAGAGCUGCUUGCCAGUGAUGUGUGUUCAGCUUCCUCAUGGAGUGUUUUCUUUGGGGCGGAGAGGAUAUUUUAUUUACAUGUCUGAUGAUUUUUAUUCAAAGGUUUUCUCCAUAUACACCAAGUGUAUGCUAUGUGUUUGGAUAUGUGUGGCUAUGUGUGUAUCUGUUUCCAUAGGUGACCUUUCUAAGUUGAUCUUAAUGCUGCUGUGGUGACAGUGGUCUUUAUGGUGACAUUUAUCACCCCCAGUGAGUAGACACUUGAUGUUUGACUUCCUAAUUAAGAGCCUAUUCUCUGGAAUGUAUAAUUCUCUGUGUCUCUGUCCCUCACACACAAACACACACAAUCAAACACAAACACACACAAUCAAACACACACAGGGGACACGUGUGCAUUCAGACAGAUCUUCAGGCAGAGACUGUGUGCUGGUUAAUGGAAGCUCAUUUACAAUAUGCUCACUGAUAUACAAGCAUAUGAAAUUAUGGUAAAUACAAAUGUUAUAAAUCAGUGAGGAAUGGUCUCUUUAGUCUUGUCUUUCUCCUAUUCUUUCUCUGUCUCACACACACACACCACUCUCUCUCACAGGGUUCUUGCACCAUUUCAAAAGUCAAAUUUAAUGCUUUUUAAGACUUUUUUAAGACCACAACAAAUAUAAUUUAAGACCCAAAAAUGUCACAAUUUCUUUGGAAUACUCAAUUCAGGGGUGCAAACUCAUCAGGGUUGAAAAAGGUGACAACGACGCGAACCCCCUAGGUGCGUCCGGGGCAUGCUCCCCGGGGAAUAUAUUUUAUAUAUAAGAACAUUUUGCACAUUUUAAAGUUCAAUGCAUCAAUCUGGUGCACUUUGACAACAAAAUUAUGAGGCUAGAUCUAUGAAGAACUUUGUGCUGUUGUAAACAAUUUUGUGCUCUGGUAACAGUUUAAUCAUAAACAUUCCUGUGUUGAAUGUUGCACAGGCACAGGCCAACCCAACCUGCCUCUAGUUGAGCCACAGUAAUGGCAUCCUCCUCCUAAAAUUCUCUCAUUCUGAAAACAAACUGAAGUAGGAGAGUGGUAAAUUUGUUCAGUUGCAGUGAAGCGCCCAGCAGUAGAAAACGGGUCAGUGUUUCAGAUUACAGAUUACAUAGGGACGUGUGGUCAGGGGAGGCAGAGCCUCAUAAAAAGUAAAAAACAAAAUAAAUAUUAAUAUGUAUCUACUGAUCUUUGCUUUAAAUAAAAUGUCUGUAUGAUUCCGAUCAUUUUUAUAAUCAAAAUCGCUGAAUUUGACCAUGUCCUGUUCAAACAGAGGCGACUCGCGAGGUGAGGCAGCAACGAGCUGCGCCUCAUCUCAGAUUGUGCAAUCCCUCACACACUGGGUUGAGCACAUGCCUUUUGCUUUCUCAUUGUUUGUCAUCACUGAAAUAUUUGUAGACACUGUCAUUAUAUGUCGUUUGUAUCCAUAGAAUAGGUAAUGUAAUGUAUUUCACGUAUGUGAAGAAGCUAUUUAGUCUUGCUGAUCUGUCAUAAAACCACAGUGAAAAAGCACAUAGGGGAGGCAAACCUAACCUCUGCCUCAAUGAA